UACGGAGGAUGCAAGCGUUAUCCGGAAUGAUUGGGCGUAAAGCGUCCGCAGGUGGCAAUGUAAGUCUGCUGUCAAAGCGUCUGGCUCAACCAGAUAAAGGCAGUGGAAACUACAUAGCUAGAGUAAGGUAGGGGUAGAGGGAAUUCCUGGUGUAGCGGUGAAAUGCGUAGAGAUCAGGAAGAACACCGGUGGCGAAAGCGCUCUGCUGGACCUUAUCUGACAUUGAGGGACGAAAGCUAGGGGAGCGAAUGGG
rnacentral:rRNA from 1 species